rnacentral:rRNA from 1 species
UACGUAGGAGACGAGCGUUGUCCGGAGUUACUGGGCGUAAAGGGUGCGCAGGUGGCGGCGCGCGUGGGGGGUGAAAUCGCCCGGCUUAACUGGGCGGGGGCCUUCCAGACGGCGUGGCUUGAGCAGCGGAGGGGGACGUGGAAUUCCGGGUGGAGCGGUGAAAUGCGUAGAGAUCCGGAGGAACACCGGUGGCGAAGGCGGGUCUCUGGGCCGAUACUGACGCUGAGGAGCGAAAGCGUGGGAGCGAACAGG